GGAAUGGUGGGAUAUCAUGCUUUCAGGGUGUGCAUGUCAUCACCCCCUGUCUUCCUCAAUGGAUUAUAUUAAUAUGCUGGCCUCAGUACAAUGCGUUCCAGACAAAGAGGGAGUUGUGGUUCCAGUAAUGAAUGAAAAAGACAAGGAAGUGAGAGAGCAGGAAACUGAGAUAGAGGCAUACUGGAAUAGAGAUCAGGGGAUAAUCAGAAAGAGGCUAAACAAUCAUUAACCACACAGUUUCUAUACUGUUUGACCCUUCAAGCAUAUAAACAUACACACAUUAUGACAGAUUGUACAAUUGCACAGUGAGAUUAGCGUUCAUUUACACUGAGGAACAUGGAGCAGUCAGAAAAUGCACUUCAUAUUAUGAAAUGGGUACAUGUAUUCCACUAGCUUAUCAUAUUAACUGACCACCACGUAACGAACUGUUAAACUCCGUUUAUGACGAGGAAAUAGUUGGAUCAUAUAUCCCAUAAGCGUCAUGGAGGAAAGCCCCGGUACACGUGACGCAACCAACAAGAACACGGAAACCCCACCCCGUGACAUCACCUUUGGAUGCUCAAAAAUGCAUUUGUGAGUGAAGUCAACCUCCGAAGAUGUUGCAAGGUGUGGCUGUCAUAAAUCCCUGUGAGAGUUGUGAGGGCCACCUAUAUGAAAUGACUUGGGGAUGAACACUGGGUGUGUUUGAAGCCCACUGCCCUGCUUUGGGGGUCAUACUCAAGACUCAUCUGUUCAUAAUCACCUACCUGUAGCAACGGCAAAUCCCACACUCUCAAUCUGUGUUGUUUUCUCAUACUAUUUCUUUUGUUUCUGUUUGUUUUCUGUUCCUUUGUACAGCGUCUUUGGGUCCCUGAA